GAUAUUCGACGUCAUAACCACGAUCAAUUUUGGUGUUUAUGACGUCGAUAUUCGACGUCAAAAACACGAUCAACUUACGUGUUUAUGACGUCGAUAUUCGACGUCAUAAACCCAUUCAACUUUGGUGGGUAACUUUGGUUGGAAAAAAUGACAUUUUUUAUCAUAAACACGAUUAUGACGUCGAUACUCGACGUCAUAAACGCGUUCAACUUAGGUGUUUAUGACGACGAUAUUCGACGUCAUAAACACGAUCAACUUAGGUGUUUAUGACGUCAACGUU
rnacentral:miRNA from 1 species